GCGGGUAUAUAUCAAUGGUAGAUUCUCUGCCUUCCAAGCAGAAGGUACGGGUUCGAGUCCCGUUACCCGCU
rnacentral:tRNA from 4 species